UGCGCAUUGGGAACUGACGAGUAAUGGUCAACAUAGGUCAUAUGAAUAAGGGUUGGGCUUAACAUCGAACUAUUAUCUAUAGACAAUAAAUACAUGUAGGUGUUAAACGUUAAAAAGCUUCUAAAUGCUAAAUGGAAAGUAACCAGUAAUUGUUUUAAUCAUACUUAUUUUACUUUUUGUACAAAAUCCGGAAUAUAGGUUAAAAAAGUAAUUUUAAUGAAAAUCGUAGCUACUAUCCGUUUAAUUAUAUGGACUAGUCACAACGGCAUCGUUUUAAAACGCUUUAAUGUGUUCAAUUCUUUCUAGAUUUUUUUAUGAAACUUCUAUCAGGUUUAAAUUAGCAGUAUCUCAAGUCAAAAAACAAAUUUCGAUCAAUUAUUUUUAAAAGAGUUAAGCCCCUUCGAAACAUUUAUUAUAUUGGGAAAUUGCAUCGUUAUCGCUUUCAUUUGUUCAAUUUUUGCCAGAUGUUUAUGAAACUCAUUCGAUAGGUUUAUAUUAGUGAUGUCUUUGACUAGUUUGAAAAUCAAUCUGAUCAAUUAAUUUAGAAAGAAUUCGGGUGCGGGAAUUUCUCGC
rnacentral:lncRNA from 1 species